rnacentral:misc_RNA from 1 species
AAAGUCGUAACAAGGUUUCCGUAGGUGAACCUGCGGAAGGAUCAUUACCAAAUCUUUGUGUCCUGACCGAAAGGUCUUGACGCUUUAACCCUUUGUGAACCAAAAAACCUUACGCUUCGGUAGCAAGCUAGGCUGGGUUUCUGCCUGACCUAGUUAUCAGCCUGCCGUUAGCACCAAAUUAAAAAACUUGCAGUUAAAUAUUGUCUGAACAAACACAUUUUCGAAUGAAAAUCAAAACUUUCAACAACGGAUCUCUUGGUUCUC